GGGGAUAUAGCUCAGCCGUAGAGCGUUCAACUGAUAUGCACUGAAAGGUCCCAGGUUCAAAUCCUGGUGUCCCCG